rnacentral:rRNA from 1 species
GACGAACGCUGGCGGCGUGCUUAACACAUGCAAGUCGAACGAUGAACCCGGAGCUUGCUCCGGCGGAUUAGUGGCGAACGGGUGGGUAACACGUGAGUAACCUGCCCUUGACUCUGGGAUAACUGCUAGAAAUGGUAGCUAAUACCGGAUACGACCCUCGGUGGCAUCACCAGGGGGUGGAAAGAAUUUCGGUCAAGGAUGGACUCGCGGCCUAUCAGCUAGUUGGUGAGGUAACGGCUCACCAAGGCGACGACGGGUAGCCGGCCUGAGAGGGUGACCGGCCACACUGGGACUGAGACACGGCCCAGACUCCUACGGGAGGCAGCAGUGGGGAAUAUUGCACAAUGGGCGCAAGCCUGAUGCAGCAACGCCGCGUGAGGGAUGACGGCCUUCGGGUUGUAAACCUCUUUUAGUAGGGAAGAAGCGAAAGUGACGGUACCUGCAGAAAAAGCACCGGCUAACUACGUGCCAGCCGCCGCGGUAACAC